UUUGUUGAGGUCUUGGGCUAG
rnacentral:miRNA from 1 species